AGAGUUUGAUCCUGGCUCAGGAUGAACGCUGGCGGCAUGCCUAACACAUGCAAGUCGAUCGGUAAGGCUCUUCGGAGUACACGAGAGGCGGACGGCUGAGUAACGCGUAGGAACACACCCUGCAGUGAGGGAUAAGACACCGAAAGGUGUUCUAAUACCGCAUACGGUCUUCGGAUUAAAGCAUUUAUGCGCUGAAGGAGUGGCCUGCGUCAUAUUAGAUAGUUGGUGAGGUAAUGGCUUACCAAGUCGAUGAUGUGUAGCUGGUCUGAGAGGAUGAUCAGCCAGACUGGAACUGAGACACGGUCCAGACUCCUACGGGAGGCAGCAGUGAGGAAUAUUUCACAAUGAGCGAAAGCUUGAUGGAGCAAUGCCGCGUGCAGGAUGAAGGCCCUCGGGUUGUAAACUGCUUUUAUAAGAGAAGAUUAUGACGGUAACUUAUGAAUAAGGGACGGCUAACUACGUGCCAGCAGCCGCGGUCAUACGUAGGUCCCGAGCGUUAUCCGGAGUGACUGGGCGUAAAGAGUUGCGUAGGCGGUCAAGUUAGCGAGCGAUGAAAACUAUCGGCUCAACCGAUAGCUUGUUGUUCGAACUGCUUGACUCGAGAGUAUCAGAGGUCGCUGGAAUUCCUAGUGUAGCAGUGAAAUGCGUAGAUAUUAGGAAGAACACCGAUGGCGUAGGCAGGCGACUGGGAUAUUUCUGACGCUAAGGCACGAAAGCGUGGGUAGCGAACCGGAUUAGAUACCCGGGUAGUCCACGCCGUAAACGAUGGAUGCUAAUUGUUUGAGGUAUCGACCCCUCGAGUAAUAAAGCUAACGCGUUAAGCAUCCCGCCUGUGGAGUACGGCCGCAAGGCUAAAACAUAAAGGAAUUGACGGGGAC
rnacentral:rRNA from 1 species